GUACUGUGAGUCAGAUAUGGGAAUGUUAUAAGCUUGUGUAAAUGGUUUCAUCCUUAUUUGGUGCUAUUACAUUGGAUGGUUUUUAUAGCCUUAUAGUGUUUCUGAAUUCACUAUGGAGCACACAUGCACAAAUGGCUUUGAAACUUUGGUAUCACUUCAGCGCACAUUCAGGCAUUGUUAAUGCCACCUGUUUCAAUACACUAUUUCUCAAAAGUCAAAAUUGAGAAUCCAGCAGAGUAUGACUGAGCAUGAGUGUCAGGCUCAAUGUAUGUCACAGACGGUUCUUAUGGGAACAUGGAAUUACAGUGCUUCGCUUCUGAGGUGAAACAAAUAUUCUUUUUACUAAGAACACAAUAUUGCAACAUGGGAAGUCGUACUUGUAAGUAAUUUUAAUAAAUGCAUAGGUACAUGAGUUUUAUGAAAUUGAAUUAUGCAGAAGUCAAGGCUCUGUUGUGAUGGGAACUUCGACCUUCCAAAUUAUUAAUCACUAAAAUAUUCUGUAAUAAUUGCAGAUUAGGCGCACAAUCAGUUUUAUUGGAAAACAGCAAUCAACUUUUCCAUUUGGUACUUUUGGGAUAAUUUUUCAUUUAGCAUUGUUACAAAACCUUGAAGCAUGUGAUUAAUACACAUUUCCAUUACUAAUUGACAAUUAUUUUUGAAGGUUUCAGACCGCUUGAAUUUUCAAAAAUUUGUCUGUUACAAGUAGUUAGUUCAGAGCUAUACUAAUGAAGUAAUGCCACUGGUGCUGCAGUAUUCAUCAAGUGUAUUUAGUGUGUUCUUGAUUGAUGAGACCAAUUGAAUUGAAUGGAUUUAUAUUGUGAAUGGCCAGUGAUCAUUUAUAGAUUUUCAAACAAAAACAGAGGAAGUUCCCAUAAAUCUGGCCAUACUGUGGUUCAGGCAAUACCUACGGUGGCAUAGUUUUCAUCAGUAUUUGUAACCAUCAUGUUACCCUCAGUUAUCUCUUUCACAGUGGCUGUGAUGUGUUUGAGUGAUUACAUGGUUGUUGGAAAGGGUCCUAAAUAUGACUAUGUAAUGAAAUAUGCCACGGUUACAAAUGUCUUUAUGGAGACACAUGGGUUGUGCUUUGUUGCUGUAUAUUAUGGUAACGUUUCAGAUGCAGCAGUUUACAAAUAUAGUAACCUAUAUCAUAAGAGUGAACGCCUGAGUGUUUGUGCUUUUGCCGAAAGAAUGUAUAGAUCGAGAAGGCCUGUCAACUUUUAUGGACUUUUCACUAAGGAAAAAGAUAAAGUCAAUAAUAAUGGAAUAGCUGCUAUAGAGGCUACUAAUCCAGGAGCUUGGUUUGCUCCCAAUUAAUGACGUGUAUUAGUAGUGAUGUAUUUUAUUUAUUUAUUUUUUUUAAUUUGUGGUGUUUGUGGAUGAAUGUUUUUUAUUGCUUAAGAACAAUGAAAUUUGAAUUGAAGUCAGAAACUGAUUAAUUGGACACUUUUGAUCAGUUCAUUCAUCAGUUACUAUCUUUGUACAACAAUUUGUAAUUAGAAUAGACCUUGAUAAGUUUUAUAAUUACAAGAAACUACGAUGGCA